rnacentral:lncRNA from 1 species
CUCCCUCUCUCCUUUACUGUCCUUUGGAGGUAGGAGGAGGAGGAUCAUUAUUCCAUAUUAGUUAAUACAUAAUGUCUGUUGAUACUCAAUGGAAUACUUCACUGGAUGACAAAGGAGGAGAUAUUAAUGGAGACACACCCCCACCUCCUCUGGAGAAGUACCAACAACAACAAUAAACAACAAACAAGUAAACAAACAAGAGGAGGAGGAGACAGUAAUACAGGACAAGUUAAAGUAGAUUUUGUUGUCUGAGUAUUUCCCGUUGAAGUUACUGGCUAGUCUUGAUGAGCAGUUGGGACGUCCCAAGUGGGUGGUACC